rnacentral:lncRNA from 1 species
GGUCAGUCCUCAGAAGAGGAUCGCAAAAUUGAAACGUCAGGAUUCCGUGGCUCAAGAUGCUAGAAAUCUGGCACCAAGAUAGGUUUGAUUCCCCGUCCAUUAAAAUAUUUCUUCUUAAAUCUCACUUCCAAAUCCAGAGAUUCAGGUGUGAAGCUUAAUUCCAUAGCCUCCCUCCAAAUAAUUAUCUUCCAGCAAUGGCCUUAGCACCAAAACUACAGCUACCAUUGGGCAGUCCAUCUUGACUCUAGGUUUCAACCAGCCUCUCCUAAUAGGUCAUCUGGGCGGCUCUGCUCCCUGUGUCUUCACCCUUUUUGGACCAGUGACUAGUCAAGACACGCUCCUCCCAUGGCGAUGAGAGAGGCGCAAGAGGGCACACCCAUGCACUCACGCACAUUCAAGCCCCUGGUUGUGUCACAUCUGCCAAAGCAAGUCACAUGGCCAAGGCCAAAAUCAAGGGGUGGGAAAAGGAUAUCCCCCUUAAUGGAGGUGAAAGGAUGAAGGAGUAAACAUUUUUGACAAUAACCUACCACAGCAGCUGAGGAUUCAUCCUGAACAUUUUCAAAUACAUAAAACUCCAGGUAUAACUCCAAACCAAACAUGAUGAAAGGAGGCAUUUGGAUAGACCACAGAAAGAUACACCAUCACAUUGCACACCAGCUGCUGUAAACACUUCAGCUUUCUGCAGCAACCAGAGGAAGGAAUUAUGACUCAGCAUGCUUCUUCAGUGGUUGGUUCUGGACAGCCUUUUUAAACUCUAAUCCAAAAUAGAAAUAACGUACCUCCCAUGUGUUCAAGAAGCUUGCACUCCUGGGGAUGACAAUGCCCUUUCCAUCUGCAGGAAAGAAGUUCUCCUCUGAUCGCGACGGCAAAGCAGCAAACAUUUGCUGACCUCCAUAAUUCCGCACUGAACUCUUCCCUCAGACAGGACACCCUAAUUUCUCUGUUACUUUAUUCCUUUGCCAAAUUCUAAUAGUUUAAAAUCAAAAAAAGAUGAAGUUAAAUAAUAGCUGUUGUGUGUUUUUGAGAAAGUUUGAGUUUGGUUACUGUGGGUUUUCUAAGAUAUUGCUUUCCUUAGUUUAUACAAAAAAGCAUUUAUUGAUCUAGGUUUUAGACCAAGUGCUGAUGACUCAGACAUGAAUAACAGUUCCUCUGGAGUGUUUCAAGUAAAACAAAUAUGUAAAAACUAAGCUAUAAUACAAUUUAAUAUGUCUUUUGACAGAGGUGCACAAGCUGUGGGAACAUGGGAGAAAACAUAAUUGAUUCUGUGGUUCCAGGGAAGCCUUCAGAGAGCAGAAGGCAUUUGGGCAAAUCUCGAAGGAUGGGCACGGGCUCCGUAAGUGGAGUGAGAGCACUUAAGGCAGAGAACAGGAAGAAUAAAAGCACCAGUACAUCAAAGUGCAGUGUUGGCUGUGAUUUCCUUUCAUUCCAG